GGGUCCGGGGAGUUGCCCCGGAGGCGAAUGGGCAGCCGGGCCGCUGCCU
rnacentral:ncRNA from 1 species